UGGGGAAUAUUGGGCAAUGGGCGAAAGCCUGACCCAGCAACGCCGCGUGAAGGAAGAAGGUUUUCGGAUUGUAAACUUCUGUCCUCAGGGAAGAAGAAAGUGACGGUACCUGAGGAGGAAGCCCCGGCUAACUACGUGCCAGCAGCCGCGGUAAUACGUAGGGGGCAAGCGUUGUCCGGAAUGACUGGGCGUAAAGGGCGCGUAGACGGCUGUCUAAGUCUGGAGUGAAAGUCCUGCUUUCAAGGCGGGAAUUGCGUUGGAGACUGGAUGGCUUGAGUGCGGAAGAGGUAAGUGGAAUUCCCAGUGUAGCGGUGAAAUGCGUAGAGAUUGGGAGGAACACCAGUGGCGAAGGCGACUUACUGGGCCGUAACUGACGUUGAAGCGCGAAAGCGUGGGGAGCGAACA
rnacentral:rRNA from 1 species